GACUAGCCCUGAUAGCAGUGGCAUCCUUUUGUUUUUUUCUUUAAAAAACAAAAGAUAUAACGGAUAGCAGGAAAUAGC
rnacentral:sRNA from 1 species